CGGAAUGUAGCUCAGUUUGGUAGAGCACUCGCUUUGGGAGCGAGAUGUCGCAGGUUCGAAUCCUGUCAUUCCGA
rnacentral:tRNA from 1 species